AAACCCAGGAGCAGACACAAGUCUGAGCUGUGAGCCCAUGAUCCUGGUGUGUCCUUGGAGUGUGAGGCUGGUGUGUCCUUGGAGUAUGAGGCUGGUGACUGGAGUAACCGUGUUUCUGACCUUGGGGACUGUGAUUAAUACUAAGACCACCCAGCUCAGCUCCACGGAUUGUGCUGAAGGAGAAAAUGUAAACCUGCCUUGUAACCACUCUACCAUCAGUGGAGCUGACUAUAUACAUUGGUAUCGGCAAAAUCCCAAUCAGAGUCCACAGUAUGUCAUUCAUGGCUUACGAGACACAGUGAACAGCAUGGCCUCUCUGACCACAGCUUCAGACAGAAAGUCCAGCGCCUUGGUCCUGCCCCAGGUCACCCUGAGAGACACCGCUGUGUACUACUGCGUCCUGAGUGGGGCACACGGGGACAGACGGGGCUGCACCUGUGCAGUGUCUCUGGUGGGAAGUAGGGUGGACACAGUGGGGGAGCAAUCAUGAGAGCAAAUCUGGAGUCAUCUGGAAGGAGAGUCAGAGAGCAGUAAGAGAUGAGGAAAAAGAAGGGAAGGGAAAUGAAAGAAGAUGGAUAAAGAAAAGAAGAAAAAGAGGACAUGGAAUAAGCACCUAGUUUAUUGAUGCAGCUGAGAAGAAUUUUGAGGGGUCUUAGAAUUAUAAUUUUAGCACAGCAAUAAA